UCGGAUUACGAAACGUACAAAAAAGAACAAUUGGAUAAACAACAAACAAUAGAUGAAGACGGGGAGGAGGAGGAAAUAGACGAAGAAAAAAUGUCGACGCAAUAAUCGACCUCCUACAAGCGAAAAAAGCCAUUAUUCACUGAUAAUAGUCUGAAAGUUUGGAUUAAGGCUACAGGAGGCAAGACUAAAUGACGUAUUCUCGAAAUGAGACCGAGGGACGAUUCACUGAUGCCAAAGAAAUCCAAGGCUAAAAUAGAUCGCCAAACAAAAUAAGAAAUAAAAAAGAAGAAAAAAGAAGAAUUCGAUAGUCGUGUUAAAGAAGCCGUUAACAUGCAAUUAGAGACGACUUUUAACCAGAGAUUCGAGACGAUUAACCAACAAAUGGAGGCAUUGAUACAAAAAAAAUAAAGACUUGAUAGACAAAAUCGCUACUCUGAAAGUAAGUUAUUCAAUACUUACUAAAUUUUUUAUUAUAAACAUUAAGUUAAUCGAUUAAAAAUAUUUUGUUGUUUUUUAGAAGGGAAACACAAGCACAAGUCAAACAAUCGUUCCAAGUAAAAAUCCUCUGAAUCUUUCUUUAGAUCUUGAAGGUUUAUUAAAAAAAAAAUUGAUGCAUUGUACUUUGAAUAAUUUGUUCAAUUUGUAUAUUGGAUUUAAUGUAUUGUAAAUGUAUUGUAAAUUUGAAUGAAUUGUCAAUGAUCG
rnacentral:lncRNA from 1 species